CCUACGGGGGGCAGCAGUGGGGAAUAUUGCACAAUGGGGGAAACCCUGAUGCAGCGACGCCGCGUGAGUGAAGAAGUAUUUCGGUACGUAAAGCUCUAUCAGCAGGGAAGAAAAUGACGGUACCUGACUAAGAAGCCCCGGCUAACUACGUGCCAGCAGCCGCGGUCAUACGUAGGGGGCAAGCGUUAUCCGGAUUUACUGGGGGUAAAGGGAGCGUAGACGGCAGCGCAAGUCUGAAGUGAAAUCCCAUGGCUUAACCAUGGAACGGCAUUGGAAACUGUGCAGCUGGAGUGCAGGGGAGGUAAGCGGAAUUCCGAGGGUAGCGGGGAAAUGCGUAGAUACUAGGAGGAACACCAGUGGCGAAGGCGGAUGACUGGACUGUAACUGACGUUGAGGCUCGAAGGCGUGGGGAGCAAACAGGAUUAGAAACCCGAGUAGUC
rnacentral:rRNA from 1 species